rnacentral:rRNA from 1 species
AUUGAACGCUGGCGGCAUGCCUAACACAUGCAAGUCGAACGAGUCGCAGACGUGUGAGUAAUGUAUGUGAAACUGCUCGUUGGGGGGGGAUACCUCCUGGAACCGUUGGCUAAUCCCCCAUACCUUCGGUUGUGCCCAGAUGUGAUUAGCUAGUGGGUGGGGUAACGGCUCACCUAGGCGACGAUCCCUAGCGGGUCUGAGAGGAUGACCGGCCACACUGGAACUGAGACACGGUCCAGAUCCCUACGGGGGGCAGAAGUGGGGAACAUUGCAAAAUGGGCGCAAGCCUGAUGCAGACAUGCGGCGUGGAUGAAGAAGGCCUUGGGGUUGUAAAGUACUUUCAGAGAGGAGGCGUUAAUCGCAGAAGAAGCAAUGGCUAACUCCGUGCCAGCCGCCGCGGUAAUUC